rnacentral:tRNA from 1 species
CCUUCGAUAGCUCAGUUGGUAGAGCGGAGGACUGUAGUGGAGUGAGCUGUGGUGAUCCUUAGGUCGCUGGUUCGAUUCCGGCUCGAAGGA